AGUGAGCACUCUUGUCCUUAAUGCUUUGCAGUUCCCCUCCUGGAUCAAGCAGCUGAUUUCUUCUGGCUUUAUACACACUAAGCUUAUUGUGACUUUGCAACACUGCCUGCGAUCCUUAUAUAGAUCUUAUACAGAUAUUUUGGGAAAUCUACAUGAUUCCUUCCUUGAAUUAACACUGCAGCUGGAUUGCUCAUUGAUGUCCCUGGUCUUUAACCCCAUAAACCGUUAUAUAUGAUCAUGCACAUGACCAUUUUCACCUCGGCGGUUUUCUGUGUUUGUCGCUAGUUGUGGGCAACUCGUGGUUGCAUAUUUUGACUGGAUAUCGCUCCCUCCCCUGAAGAAGCGGAAGUCCGCGAAACAUGUAGGGUCUAUGCGAUUUCCUUUUCCAGUUGCAUCCAU